UAAAUAAGAAGCGAUAUAUUGCACCCAGUUUCGACCUGGCUUUAGGUGAUCACACCCUUAUUUAG
rnacentral:tRNA from 1 species